rnacentral:rRNA from 1 species
UUCCGUAGGGGUGAACCUGCGGAAGGAUCAUUACCGAGUGAGGGCCCUCUGGGUCCAACCUCCCACCCGUGUUUAUUUUACCUUGUUGCUUCGGCGGGCCCGCCUUAACUGGCCGCCGGGGGGCUUACGCCCCCGGGCCCGCGCCCGCCGAAGACACCCUCGAACUCUGUCUGAAGAUUGUAGUCUGAGUGAAAAUAUAAAUUAUUUAAAACUUUCAACAACGGAUCUCUUGGUUCCGGCAUCGAUGAAGAACGCAGCGAAAUGCGAUACGUAAUGUGAAUUGCAAAUUCAGUGAAUCAUCGAGUCUUUGAACGCACAUUGCGCCCCCUGGUAUUCCGGGGGGCAUGCCUGUCCGAGCGUCAUUUCUGCCCUCAAGCACGGCUUGUGUGUUGGGCCCCGUCCUCCGAUCCCGGGGGACGGGCCCGAAAGGCAGCGGCGGCACCGCGUCCGGUCCUCGAGCGUAUGGGGCUUUGUCACCCGCUCUGUAGGCCCGGCCGGCGCUUGCCGAUCAACCCAAAUUUUUAUCCAGGUGACCUCGGAUCAGGUAGGGAUACCCGCUGAACUUAAGCAUAUCAAUAAGCGGAGGAA